AAAUGCUUUGUUUGCCUUGUGGUUAAUACAUCCCUGGCUGCCUGACCUAUUGCCUGUCUGACUUCUACUGCCGUAUCCUUAUCCGUACCUUGCUGCCGACACUCUCUCAAUUACUGCAUUUGGGACUCAAACAGAAAACCUGUGCUGUCUGACCUGGCCUAUUGCCUGCCUGACUACGUUUAUGCUGUACCCCUAUUUGUACCUCGCUGCGGACACUGUAAGCCAAUGACUACUAAACCGG